GACGAACGCUGGCGGCGUGCCUAAUACAUGCAAGUAGAACGCUGAAGAGAGGAGCUUGCUCUUCUUGGAUGAGUUGCGAACGGGUGAGUAACGCGUAGGUAACCUGCCUUGUAGCGGGGGAUAACUAUUGGAAACGAUAGCUAAUACCGCAUAACAAUGGAUGACACAUGUCAUUUAUUUGAAAGGGGCAAUUGCUCCACUACAAGAUGGACCUGCGUUGUAUUAGCUAGUAGGUGAGGUAACGGCUCACCUAGGCGACGAUACAUAGCCGACCUGAGAGGGUGAUCGGCCACACCGGGACUGGGACGCGGCCCAGACUCCUACGGGAGGCAGCAGUAGGGAAUCUUCGGCAAUGGGGGCAACCCUGACCGAGCAACGCCGCGUGAGUGAAGAAGGUUUUCGGAUCGUAAAGCUCUGUUGUAAGUCAAGAACGAGUGUGAGAGUGGAAAGUUCACACUGUGACGGUAGCGUACCAGAAAGGGACGGCUAACUACGU
rnacentral:rRNA from 1 species